rnacentral:rRNA from 1 species
UCGCAUCGAUGAAGAACGCAGCGAAAUGCGAUAAGUAAUGUGAAUUGCAGAAUUCAGUGAAUCAUCGAAUCUUUGAACGCACCUUGCGCUCCUUGGUAUUCCGAGGAGCAUGCCUGUUUGAGUGUCAUUAAUAUCUCAACCACAUGCAUUUUAUAAUGGCAUGUGGCUUGGACUUGGAGGGACGUGCAGGCUCUGACUCUUAACAAAAGUCUGCUCCUCUGAAAAAUAUAAGCGGUACCUAUAUUGGAACUUUGGCUAGGUGUGAUACACAAUAUGCAUCUAAUCAAGGUCAUCCCCGUCGGUUAUGCUGCUGAUAGUUAUGACCCGAUAAACUUGACCUCAAAUCAGGUAGGACCACCCGCUGAACUUAAGCAUAUCAAUAAGCGGAGGAAAAGAAACU